GUCCUGCCCUCCAAGAAGAGUCCUACUCAGAAAGUGAUUCAGCCCGCUCUUCCUUCUCAGCUCCUUGGCUCUGUCUUACCUAAGAAUUGCUGCUCCAUGAUGAGCUGCCCGGCAGAUGAAGGCCUUGAAAGGAUUGGAUGACACCAACCUAUAAGGGACAGCCAUGGACACUGCUGUGCCACCAUUUCAAACUCCAGUCUGGUCUGCAGCAACCUCAGGGACACAACCAGAAGCUGAAUCCCGCCAGCUCCUUGGAGACCCCACAGCCCAGCCAGAUGGGCACACGAAGUCAACCACCACACACUGGCGGGACCCAGCACAGAGCACCUUCUGCCCUCUGGAAUGCACCUUCCAGGCACUGCCCGCUCUCAAAGGCAACUGCCCUGCACCAUAUCUACCCAUCCAAUAGUUGCCCUGUCCCUGGAUGUCAGCUCAACAGAACCAUAGAGGGGACUUCCUGUUUUUCAAACAUACUGUCUGUGAGCUGUGCGUGCUGUUCCUGCAGAGGCAGCCCCUUUGUUUCUGGGGCUGGGUGAUGCCCCUUUGCCUGUUUGUCUCUUUCUCUGCUGGUGGUCACUGGCCUGUUCCCAGGACAGGCAGUCUUGGUGUUUUGGAGCAGCACGGAGCAGAGUGGCCCCAAACACAUUUGCCUGAGUCACACAGGCCUGACUCAACUCCCAGGCUUUGCCACAAACAAGCUGUGUGACCUUGGGCAACCGACUCAUCUCUGCGAGCUGCAGCUUCCUCUUGUGUGCAGCGGGGAUCAGGAUGGCAGAACCCGCACAGAGCGCUGGCAGGAGGACCAGGCAGCGUGAGGCACAGACACCACCCAGCCCGCUGGGCUGGCACCAUCAGGAAGUUAUGGUCCCUGAACACCCUGAACAGGCCUGAGCUGAGCAGAAGCUCCCCAUCCACUGUCAUUCCUGGUCCCUGCUCCUUCCCAGCCGGCCUUGCAUCUGGUGGACCUUGCCGUGGGCCAGGUCAGAACCACAGGAGCCCAAGAAGGGGGAUGCUCACCCAUGCCCUGCCCGGCCCAGUCCUGCUUCCUCCUCCAUGAACCUGGGCAUGACCAGCACCUUGAUCAAGGAGAGAGAAUGAGGAGUAAAGAACCAACUUCUUCUUCUGGCCACAUAGUAGUACAGGUUAGCUCCAAGCCCUUCCUCCACCUGCUGCUAUUCAGAACGUUGUACAAAUUAUAACAAUUGUUUUUGUGGGUGCAUGGCUGAAGAGCACAGGGAAACCAGGGAAAUCCCGAUUGGGCAGAGCCAGAGGAAGAACUGAAACAGGGGGCCUGUGAGGUCACCCCACAGUGGCCUGGAGGGCAGCCGACACCUAUAAAGCAUCCAGAGCUGAGGUUCCAGACCAUCAGGACCAAGGUGGGGCUGUGGACCCCAUGUGGAGCUGGAGCAGCAGCCCACUCUCCUCUCAAGAAAGAGAGUCUGCCCAUUGUCUCAGGAAGGAAAACGGGGUCCCUCUGCUCCAGGCUGUACCCAGAACUCAGACUGAAACACAUACAUUCACUGCAUGGCCUGGAACCCACAGCCUACCACAGAGUGAGCCUGAGGAGAAUCAAUCCCUGAGCCUCACCUGACAGACAUCAGGACCAUCUGGGAUUUCCAUACACAAAGCCCUGGGACAAUGAGCUCACGAUCAAAAGUGACAAAGCCAAAGGCCUUGGUGGUCCAGGAGAGGAAUUGGACCAGGCGGAUGAGUUUAAAACCCUAAAGGGACUGAUAUGUUCAGGUGGAGACUUUAAAAUGAUGCAUUUUAAAUGUUUGAGGAGCUACAAGAAGGAAUAAAAAUUUUUGAGGAAAUGACAAGUCACCAUGAAAACAGAAAAGAUAAAUUUCAAAAUGAACCAAACAUAAUUUCUAGAAAUACACAGUUAUAUUUGGAACUCAAUGGUUUGGGACAUCUUUGUUUUGACCAAAAUAAUGAAAACAGUCGGAUUUGUUCACUUGUUGUAAAUAACCAGAGAACAGACAAAAUCCUACAAAACAAUGGCUUUUAACCCAUCAACAGCAUGGGGACAGGACAGGUUGCCUCAGGGAAGGGACACAUAGGGCGAUCGCUACUGGCAUCCUGGUUUCUGCGGUGCAAAAUCUUGAAGACGAGGGAGGGGGAAUGGGAACCAAGUGUGGCGAUCUCUCUGAGUAGAGGAGACAAGCUAGGCUCCAGGGAGGCCUGGAUCUCUGUCAUUAAAGUCAUCUGAUAGGAACAAAAGAUCCCAAAUAGGCUGAUGGUGACUGUAGAAGCCAGAAGACAGAGAAACCACACAAAUGAAUCUUCUUUGGAGACACACCUUUGUUCACGAGUAAGGUGAUGUGAAGGUGUGUGGAUAUUACACAAUCACAAUGAAUUUGGCACUUAUAUUGAUGGGUGGAUUUUUAAAAUAUCAUGUAUCCAUCCUUACAAGAUGGAAUAUCAUUCCACCUUAGGAAAGAAGGAACUCCUGCCAUAUGUGGCAAUGAGAGUGAGCCUAGGGGAUAUGGUAAGGAUUCAGCUAAGCCAGGUGCAGGACAAACACUGCACGGGCGAUGUACUGAAGUUUCUAACAUAGUCAAAGUCAUAAAGGAAGAGCACAGUGGUUGGUGGAGGCUGGAGUGUGGCAGGGAGUGGGAACUGAGAUUCAACCAACAGGUGUGCGUCUCAGGUAUGCACGAUGAAUGAAUUCUAGACAUCUACAGUGGGCAUUGUGCUGUCGAUAACAAGUGGGCUGCAGGGUAGAUUUUCGUAUGGACAGAGUGUGUAUUCCACAAAGAGUGGAAUAGAAUCUACCAUGUAUAGAAGUAUCAAUCUAUCAAAACUGGAAAGAAUCUGGCGAACAUGUGAAUAAGUGUAAACAAACAUUGACAAUAAAAUAGCAUUAUUAUAAUAAAAUAUGUAAUUUGAAAGAUAUGGAAACAAUAUUGAAUUAAAAAUAAAGACAGAAUAAGAGGAAGUCCAUCAGAGUUUAGCAUUUUGAGUUUCCUAUAUUCUUUAGUAGAAGAAUGGGGAUGUUUAUUUUACACUUAAAUUAAAUAUGCACGUU